rnacentral:misc_RNA from 1 species
UUUCAGAAUGAAAAGCAAGAAAUGAAAUCUAAUGAAAUUAUUUGAGAUCAUAUUAACAGUUUUAAGGAUACUGUUGCGAAAUAUUUAGCUGACAUAUCCUAAAAUUGCCGCAAAUAUCAAGCUAACUGAAAGAUCGCCAGGACGCCCCAUCUUCGAAUUUCUAGGCAGCGACAAAUGAUUUUGAAUUUUUAAAUCGUGUUCGGCAACAAUAGCGAAGCCCGGUAAACUUACGAAUUACUGAAACAGUGAUAAAAAAUAUUUAAACGAGUAAUAGUGCAGUUACUAAUUAUUAUCGUUGAUUCUGCAGUUAGGAGAGAACAUAAUCAUGAUUCAGCCUUUUUUGUCUCAUCUGGCAUUUCACCGUAGCAUUGUUUUAGCAAGUAAAUCUCCUCGAAGAAAGAGAGUUCUAGAGGAACUUAAACUUGUCUUUGAAGCAGUUCCUUCACCAGUUCCACAGUAUUUCAACUUAGAAGACUUUUCCUCGCCUGGUGAUCUUGUGAUGCAAUCUGCUAAAGGAAAGGCUUUAACUGUUACUGAAUUUAUUAAUGCACACGAUUAUCAUGCAGAUUUAGUUAUUGGUGCUGAUACUGUUGUUAUAUUGGAAGGAGAAGUUUUUGACUUGCCUACAAAUAAAGCAGAUGGACGUCGAAUGAUAGAGAGACUGAAUGGGAAAACUCAUGAAGUUUUCUCUGGUGCUGCACUUGUUCUUCCUAGAUAUGAAAAUGGUGUUAAGAAUCAUCAAAUUGAGACAUUUUAUGAGACAGCAAAGGUAACUUUCGGAAGCCUUCCUCCUGAUGUAAUAGAGGCUUAUUUUGAAAAUCCAAAACCAUGAAAGCUUCAUUAACUUCUCUUCACAGCAGUGUGGAGUAUAAGUGCAUUUUUAGCAUUGUUCAAAAAUUUAUAUGUCAAAUGCAAAUUUUAAAAAUAUCAGUCCUGCUCCUCUAUAACAACAUGAACUCUUAAGAAUAUCAUGACUGUCAACAGUAAGCAUCCAAGUCGAAAAUAUCAAUGCUGUGAAGCUGGAUUUUUCUUAUUCCUUUAUAACAAAAGCAAAUUCAGCCACUCUGAGGCCAAUGUUGGUGGAUAUGCUAUAGAACGCCUAGGAGGCACCUUAAUUGAAAGUAUUGAAGGAAAUUAUUAUACUGUUGUUGGGUUUCCUGUGCAUAAAUUCUGUAAGGAAAUCUAUAGGAUGUGCUCUGAGGGCCUACU